UACGAAGGGAGCUAGCGUUGUUCGGAAUUACUGGGCGUAAAGCGCACGUAGGCGGAUUGCUAAGUCAGGGGUGAAAUCCCGGGGCUCAACCUCGGAACUGCCUUUGAUACUGACAAUCUCGAGUCCGAUAGAGGUGGGUGGAAUUCCUAGUGUAGAGGUGAAAUUCGUAGAUAUUAGGAAGAACACCGGUGGCGAAGGCGGCCCACUGGAUCGGUACUGACGCUGGAGGUGCGAAAGCGUGGGGAGCAAACAGG
rnacentral:rRNA from 1 species